rnacentral:rRNA from 1 species
AACGAACGCUGGCGGCAGGCCUAACACAUGCAAGUUGAACGUGAAGCCACUUCGGUGGUGGAAAGUAGCGCACGGGUGAGUAACACGUGGGAAUUUACACUUCAGUACGGAACAACAGUUGGAACCGACUGCUAAUACCGUAUAAUGACUCCGGUCCAAAGAUUUAUCGCUGAAGGAUAAGCCCGCGUCUGAUUAGCUAGUUGGUAGGGUAAGAGCCUACCAAGGCGACGAUCAGUAGGGGGUUUGAGAGGAUGAUCCCCCACACUGGAACUGAGACACGGUCCAG